rnacentral:tRNA from 1 species
GAGCCGCUAGCUCAGGUGGUAGAGCAACGGGCUUUUAACCCGUGGGUCGUAGGUUCGAAUCCUACGCGGCUCACCA